rnacentral:rRNA from 1 species
GACGAACGCUGGCGGCGUGCUUAACACAUGCAAGUCGAACGGAAAGGCCCUUCGGGGUACUCGAGUGGCGAACGGGUGAGUAACACGUGGGUGAUCUGCCCUGCACUUUGGGAUAAGCCUGGGAAACUGGGUCUAAUACCGAAUAGGACCACGCGCUUCAUGGUGUGUGGUGGAAAGCUUUUGCGGUGUGGGAUGGGCCCGCGGCCUAUCAGCUUGUUGGUGGGGUAAUGGCCUACCAAGGCGACGACGGGUAGCCGGCCUGAGAGGGUGACCGGCCACACUGGGACUGAGAUACGGCCCAGACUCCCACGGGAGGCAGCAGUGGGGAAUAUUGCACAAUGGGCGCAAGCCUGAUGCAGCGACGCCGCGUGAGGGAUGACGGCCUUCGGGUUGUAAACCUCUUUCAAUAGGGACGAAGCGCAAGUGACGGUACCUAUAGAAGAAGCACCGGCCAACUACGUGCCAGCAGCCGCGGUAAUACGUAGGGUGCGAGCGUUGUCCGGAAUUACUGGGCGUAAAGAGCUCGUAGGUGGUUUGUCGCGUUGUUCGUGAAAACUCACAGCUUAACUGUGGGCGUGCGGGCGAUACGGGCAGACUAGAGUACUGCAGGGGAGACUGGAAUUCCUGGUGUAGCGGUGGAAUGCGCAGAUAUCAGGAGGAACACCGGUGGCGAAGGCGGGUCUCUGGGCAGUAACUGACGCUGAGGAGCGAAAGCGUGGGGAGCGAACAGGAUUAGAUACCCUGGUAGUCCACGCCGUAAACGGUGGGUACUAGGUGUGGGUUCCUUCCUUGGGAUCCGUGCCGUAGCUAACGCAUUAAGUACCCCGCCUGGGGAGUACGGCCGCAAGGCUAAAACUCAAAGGAAUUGACGGGGGCCCGCACAAGCGGCGGAGCAUGUGGAUUAAUUUGAUGCAACGCGAAGAACCUUACCUGGGUUUGACAUGCACAGGACGCCGGCAGAGAUGUCGGUUCCCUUGUGGCCUGUGUGCAGGUGGUGCAUGGCUGUCGUCAGCUCGUGUCGUGAGAUGUUGGGUUAAGUCCCGCAACGAGCGCAACCCUUGUCCUAUGUUGCCAGCGGGUUAUGCCGGGGACUCGUAGGAGACUGCCGGGGUCAACUCGGAGGAAGGUGGGGAUGACGUCAAGUCAUCAUGCCCCUUAUGUCCAGGGCUUCACACAUGCUACAAUGGCCGGUACAAAGGGCUGCGAUGCCGUGAGGUGGAGCGAAUCCUUUCAAAGCCGGCCUCAGUUCGGAUCGGGGUCUGCAACUCGACCCCGUGAAGUCGGAGUCGCUAGUAAUCGCAGAUCAGCAACGCUGCGGUGAAUACGUUCCCGGGCCU